UAUACAGAGUUCCUCCGUGAAUAUGCCA
rnacentral:sRNA from 1 species